AUACAAUAGAUUCAUCGAGAUCACUGCAAAGGAAAUACAUGUGACUGAAGCACAUCAAAUAAACAUAUAUACAUUUGCAGAAUCCUUUCAGUUGUUAUAAUCCAUUCUCAACCUCUUGGGACUACACUCUAUAUGGACCAUGGUGAAAAUCGAGAAGCACAGCAUAACUCAAUCCAUAUAGAGGCUACUACUACUGUAGAAAUGGAGAAGCAAAGUGAGAAGGAGUCUUGGAUCGGUACUCAGCGUAGGAACCCUUCACAAAUUACACCCCUAGACCAAUUCAAUCAACCAAUUCCCAAACAGUCCAAUCUCUAGACGGUCAAACUAAUUCAACAAGGUUUUCUUGAUCGGUUUAAACCAAUGACAGUCAAACUAAUCAAAAUCAGCGAGACUAUCAAAUCGAAGUACUUAUAGUUUCCUUGAUCGGUUCAAAUCAGCGAGUGUCAAGAAGUCGAGAUCCGUAAAAACCAACAAAAAAGGGAACUACCACAGAAGGUUGAUAUUCACAGGCGGUUGGCAGGAUCAGCUGGGCCAAGAGUAGCAUCCUUUGUAGUGGAGGGAGGGGAUAUUGUCGCGGGGCAAAGGCGGGUGUCCGCAGAGUAGAAGCCACCAUCGAAGAGGGGAGGGAAAGCUGGGAGGCAGGGAGAGGGAUUCCGCUGCCGCGGCACUGCUACUGCCGCUGGUCAAGGGCAGAUGGCAGUUGGUUGGUUGCGGGCAGUAGACGGUCGUGGUCUGGUCACGGCAUGGCAGGACGGUUUGAUUAGGAUGUGAUCGAGCCUGAUCAGGAGGUUCUUCGGUGUCGGGAAAGAAGAGUGUACAGCUGACCCGUGUUUGGCUUCUCUGUCCUGUCACUGAUGUUUCUAUCCUAUCUCAAACGGCUGGAAUCUAACUUGAGGCGUUACUUCUUCAUGUUUCUGUCGGAUUUGGAGAGUGGUUGGGAACAAACAUUGUGAUUAUGUUAUGCCGUACUGUUCUAUUACAAAUGAUUAGAAGAGGUUGCUUUCUUCAUCGAUUUA